GUGCCGCACGUAUAUUUCCUCCAUAAUAUCAAUACGCUUACUCUAACGAAUGCAAAAUAAUCCUCAUAAAAGAACAUAUAUCGUUUGCGGCUCGAUAAUGUUGCGAAAAAUGCAUAAAUCCCAAGCUAGGUGCGGGACAGUGUCGCCACGGAGGCGCGAACGCGGCGUCAAUCCUGUCGCGUGAAGUUAACCGCGCGGAGACGAAGCCGCUUCUCGCCGUCUUCAGCUGUAUUCACGCUUCAUUUACAGAACGCAACGAACGCAGCACGGAUCGGCUCCGGAACGGAGGCAUUGUCGCGGCUCGUUUAUAACAGAGCACGGCGGACGCGAUGCAAGCCGGAUUCGAACGAGAGCGAGUGGCGUCGCAAAAUCUCUGUUGAUCUCGCAUAAAGAUUCGAUGCUUGCGUAUCCGAUCGAAAACGCGCAUUCGAUCCGGAACGCAAAGGACGCGGGAUGGAUGGGCUCCGGAACGGAGGCGUCAUCGCGGCUCGUUUAACAGAACGCGGCGAAUGCAGGAUGAAUCGGAAUUGGAGAGAGCGGCGUCGCGACUCGUUUAAUAGAACGCGGCGUAUGCGGAAAGGAUCAAUUCCGGAAUGAAUGGCGCUAUGAUUCAUCUAAUUAAUCGUAUGUACUACAAUUCUAUUAUUGCACAUCGUGGGAAAAUAAUCUGAAGAGAUCUGACAACUCGGAAAUAAAUUAGACUUAAAGAAGGUAUCGGGUUUCGGUGGACAAACUUUGCGAUUCAUCGUAGCGAUGUGUCUGUUAACGCCACUGUUGCGCAUUGAAUGCGAACUUAUUCCAUGUAUAAAGCUGUCGUAUAUAUACUCGUCGAUGAUUUAAAUAAACGAACCGCAACCGGUUCAUCGCGUCGCGCGCUUGUUCCGGGAGUGCCGUUUAAAGUAAUAGGACUUAAUUAAUCCACGGGCGUAAUUUGU